GACGAACGCUGGCGGCGUGCCUAAUACAUGCAAGUCGAACGCUUCUUUUUCACCGAACUUCGGUUCAUCGAAAAAGAGGAGUGGCGAACGGGUGAGUAACACGUGGGUAACCUGCCCAUCAGAAGGGGAUAACACUUGGAAACAGGUGCUAAUACCGUAUAAUGCUUUUUCUCGCAUGAGAGCAAGCUGAAAGGCGCUUUUGCGUCACUGAUGGAUGGACCCGCGGUGCAUUAGCUAGUUGGUGAGGUAACGGCUCACCAAGGCCACGAUGCAUAGCCGACCUGAGAGGGUGAUCGGCCACACUGGGACUGAGACACGGCCCAGACUCCUACGGGAGGCAGCAGUAGGGAAUCUUCGGCAAUGGACGAAAGUCUGACCGAGCAACGCCGCGUGAGUGAAGAAGGUUUUCGGAUCGUAAAACUCUGUUGUUAGAGAAGAACAAGGAUGAGAGUAAAAUGUUCAUCCCUGGACGGAUCUAACCAGAAGCCAC
rnacentral:rRNA from 1 species